rnacentral:rRNA from 1 species
UACGGAGGGGGCUAGCGUUGUUCGGAAUUACUGGGCGUAAAGCGCGCGUAGGCGGACCUGCAAGUCGGGGGUGAAAGCCCGAGGCUCAACCUCGGAACUGCCUUCGAUACUGCGGGUCUCGAGUCCGGGAGAGGUGAGUGGAAUUCCUAGUGUAGAGGUGAAAUUCGUAGAUAUUAGGAAGAACACCAGUGGCGAAGGCGGCUCACUGGCCCGGGUACUGA